UGUUAGAACCAGGGAAAAGAUGUGGAUAGAUAUUACCCUGACUUACCGUUUUUGCAUAUCCAAAGAAGGAAGAGCCAAUAAAUAGUAACAACAGAAACUAAUUGCAAUUCCCAUGUUAGGGAGAGAGAUUAUUCAAGAGAACAUGCGAAAGCCCGACUGCAAAUUGGAAGAAACCAUUGAAGGCAAUACCCCGUGGAUAUUAGAAUUUAAUCUGGAUAUUAUAGUUUAAUAUCCAGAUUAAUCUGAAAUGAAUUUGUGGCCUUUAUCCUUCGAUUAUUUCUUUUGUUUCCUUCUCAUCGUAAUAUUUACUGCCCCAAAUUCUUGAUGUUUUUGGAAGACAAGUUAAUAGCGAGAAAGAUGCAGGGUAGAGGCUGUCGUGGUAUGUUAAAUUGCAGAUCAUGCCUGAUUUCUGAAAGGAAAUAAACAAAUAUCUACUGAAUUCUAGCAUUUAAUCAUGUUUGGCACAUAUUUUUUCAUUUGGUAUUUCUAUAUAUUAAUAGGUUCGUAUUUUUAUUCUUCGUAUGUGUCCUUGGAAAACCAACAAUAGGGAGUGACGAGAAAGAAAAAGUAUGUAUACAAAGACUCUGAUUAGGACAACAAGAAAUCGCACCUGAUAGCAACGACCGACAAGAAAGGAGAAGAAUUUACAGAGAGAAAGAAGAGAAAUGAAAGAAAUAAGAGAGAAACUUCAAGGGGUCUCCGCUCAAAAAAAGUGUCCCAACCAACUGUUACUACUUAUUUCUUUCUAAGUUGAGGUCUCAUAGCCAACGCGGUUCUUAGUGUGUGUAGAGCUUCCUUCACAACAAUGACGAUAACUAUAACAUCAUCGUCAUGUACGGGAAAAUGUAAAGGUUCAACAAAUGGAGUUGAGAAAUGUAAAGCUUCAACAAAUGGAGUUCAUAUCCGUUCACAAAGGUGGAAUUUUAAAAAGUACAUGGUUGUAGAGAGUCCCAAACAUCCAAUGACAAACUCCAAGGAUGGUGAGACUUAUGCAGCACAGUUGGCAUAUGAAUAUGUUGAAUACAAAAGAUCCUAUCAUUGUUUCAGUUGGUUGGAGAAGGUACCAGACAACACCUAUCUGUUACCAAGUCUCCUAUAGACGGCACAAAAUGCUCGAAUUUACCCCUGUGGAUGAACCCUGCCUUGCAACCUUUUGGGGCCCUCUCGCGCCUCCCGGUGCUAGAGUUGUUGAUGUACGGAGUUUGGCCGACAACAAGGCACCAUUUCGGAUUCUAGCAACAGCUGAUGUACUCAAAUUUAACUGCACUGCGAAGAUAGUUGAGAGAAUCAAGCGGAUUGGAACUCCAUGCUUGAUUUUGAACGAGACUGAUGUUAUCAAGGACAUGUUUAUGUAGUUGCAGGAAAUCCUACACUAUACCCCUCAUAUGAUUUCGUCGUUAUUCAACUCAUUUUUAGGUUUAUACUCUUAAUUUUAUUGAUCAAUCUUUGAAUGUUGUUACAAGAAA